rnacentral:rRNA from 1 species
GACGAACGCUGGCGGCGUGCUUAACACAUGCAAGUCGAACGGAAAGGCCCUGCUUUUGUGGGGUGCUCGAGUGGCGAACGGGUGAGUAACACGUGAGUAACCUGCCCUUGACUUUGGUAUAACUUCAGGAAACUGGGGCUAAUACAGGAUAGGAGCUCCUGCUGCAUGGUGGGGGUUGGAAAGUUUCGGCGGUUGGGGAUGGACUCGCGGCUUAUCAGCUUGUUGGUGGGGUAGGGGCUUACCAAGGCUUUGACGGGUAGCCGGCCUGAGAGGGUGACCGGCCACAUUGGGACUGAGAUACGGCCCAGAGUGCUACGGGAGGCAGCAGUGGGGAAUAUUGCACAAUGGGCGGGAGUCUGAUGCAGCAACGCCGCGUGCGGGAUGACGGCCUUCGGGUUAUAAACCGCUUUCGCCUGUGACGAAGCGUGAGUGACGGUAAUGGGUAAAGAAGCACCGGCUAACUACGUG